CUGACUCACACAGAGGCAGCUUCCAGCCUUCCACAGUUCUUCCAAUUCGACACAGUUAUUUAUUUAUUUUUUUAAGGUCCAAACUCCUGUGCAGAGCAAGCAUCCAAAUGCUGUCAUCCUCUCAGCCCCAUGCUCUAGCUCAUUUUUCACACCACUGGAUUUAAUUUACUAUUAUCGUGCCUGGAAUGUGUUUGCAUCUGUAUUCUUGAGAGAUUGCUAUACAGCUCAUUUGAGGCCUCACAAGAUUAAAACUUGGUAAGAAAGUAGACACGGAAGUGUGUCUCUGUCCAGUUCCACCUAAACUGUGCUGGCAGAAACUUUGGCUCCUGCUGCUUAGCUCCUUCAGCGACCUGCGAGUCUGUCUCACGAAAAGAUACCGACCGCCAUCUUGAAUUUCUAAGCACUAAACACGAAGAGAUGUGAGUUUCUCAAAAGAUGCUUCAGACCCUCUGAGCCCCUUUGUCUGCGUGGAACGGGUCUCUAGUCGCGGGUGGACAAAGCGUAGGAUGAGUGACAAACAGACGCACACAGGAGAGGUCGAGGAAUCUGAAUGUCAUUUUUCAAAUCGAGCAUCAGACUUUUUAUGCAGAAGACAAUAAGGAAGUUGGAUGACAUACCUGCAAGGUACAAAUGAGUUCUAGGAUGGAUUUACCAGCUCUUCUUCUCUCCUGAAGACUGUUGUCCUGCCUAUGCCCAGACCCAUCUACAUCAGAUCUGAGGAGUGAGUCUUCUAAACUAUGAAGGACAUAUUAUAAUAUUCAAUAAACAAUCUGUGGCCUCCAUAUGCACAGAAUGUGAUGCUGGGCAAACAGAGAGCUCUGAGCAAAAGUUCUAAGAAAGAAAGUCUUCUAAUGGAAGCAUCUGCAAGCCUGAUGAACUAAUUUGAACCUCAGUGACCAUGAAGAGUUUGGAAUGUUACAGGUCCAGGGUCUAUUUACAAUUCAUCUUGGGUUAUCUUUAGCUCUCUAAGUAGCCAUUCUUUCCUUAUAUUUGUGUGAACCUAACAUUCUGUGCCUAACAGAUUAAGAAGUCUUUUGGAAUGUAGUAAAUCUGUGGCUUCCACUAAUUGAAAGACUGAGUGUCAUCAGGUAGUACCUGAGCCCUACAGUCAAUACUUCUCUGCAUGUUUUCACUAAUGUACCUGAAAACUGCUUUGAUCUUUUUAGUUUCUUUGUUCUGUUACUAUAAACUAAUUCCACAUUGGAACAUGGAAUUUGACACUACACCCGUGUUCCCAGGCUAUGGUCGCUCUUAUUUGGCUCUGGAAUAAAUUGAAAUGAGAUGUGUGCUUCUGCCUCAACAUUAAAUUUUCUGGUGAUAACCAUUACCCAAAGUGGUUCACAGAAGGUUUUAUCUUGGCUGGGCAAAUCACAGUGGUGGGGGAGACAUGUCAAGGGAGACUGGAGAAGGAAGCUGAGAGAUCCCAUCUUCAACCACAUGUAGAAAGCAGAGUGUAAGGCCUGGAAGUGGGGCCAGGCUAUAAACCCCCAAAGCCCAUCCACAGUUCUGCAAGGAAAGCUUCCAUCCAUGACCUUGCCAGACAAUGCUGGUCGCUGGGGACUGAUGGUGAAGUCCAUGAGUCAGUGAGGGAACAUUUCUUGUUCAAACCAUCACACCAUAUAAAUUUGAGAGACAG
rnacentral:lncRNA from 1 species